rnacentral:tRNA from 1 species
GCUAGUGUGGCUCAGUGGUAGAGCAUUGGUCAGAGCACUGAAGGGUUGUGGGUUCAAUUCCCCAUACUGGUC